UUCAGUGUCUUGUCUUAUCUUUGUAAGAAGCCUGUAGUAGAAAAAGAAGUGGGUCGUACCCUUUCGAACAUCUCUACUAUUCACAAAAAGGCUGACUUGAGUAAAACCAAAGACAAGCUGGUAGAUGUCGAAGAAAAACUUGUGGAGACCAACUUCGGUGAUGUAACACCUUUUAAAUUUCUCCAAACCAACACUUCCUCUGAGAGGGUAGAGGUAAGUAUGGAGACAGUUUACCACAGCCAUGAGGACACGGGGAAGAAAACCUCUGGAGAGAAGAAGAAAAGCAGAGAGAGGGGAAAGGGCAAAGGAAAUAAAGGACGUCAAAAACGACAAAGGAAACGUUUGGAAGAUCAAGACAACAUGGAAGACGAGGUUGAGGAAGCAUCAUCUGACGACGAGGAAUAUGAAUAUGAGGACGAGGUGCCCACGGAAGAGCCUUUUCCCUCUCGAGAGGAGAAGGGCGAAGGGGAGGAGCUAAAAUACUCCGCAACAACAGCUAUAUACACACAAGAAAAUGAGGGUGAAACAACUCCUCCGAUUACGCAGUCUUUAGAGGAGAUUACACUGGGUGAAAAAGGUGAACCUGGUGCAAAUAUGGUUUACACAACAACAGCGAGUCCCCUGCUUUCAUCAAAAUUCACAGAGCAGGUUCUUGUUCGACCCAAUGUUAAUUUCAGCAGCUUACUGCAUGUGAUACACAUUAAAUCAUUUUAUAUGUUUUACAGAAGCCGCCUGAAACCACGUUAUUAUCAGUGCUAA
rnacentral:lncRNA from 1 species